AUUGAACGCUGGCGGAAUGCUUUACACAUGCAAGUCGAACGAUGAACCUUAGCUUGCUAAGGGGAUUAGUGGCGAACGGGUGAGUAAUGUAUCGGAACGUAUCCAAUAAUGGGGGAUAACUAGUCGAAAGAUUAGCUAAUACCGCAUACGUCCUACGGGAGAAAGCUAGGGACCUUCGGGCCUGGCGUUAAUGGAGCGGCCGAUAUCUGAUUAGCUAGUUGGUGGGGUAAAGGCUCACCAAGGCGACGAUCAGUAGCUGGUCUGAGAAGACGACCAGCCACACUGGAACUGAGACACGGUCCAGACUCCUACGGGAGGCAGCAGUGGGGAACUUUGGACAAUGGGCGAAAGCCUGAUCCAGCCAUUCCGCGUGAGUGAAGAAGGCCUUCGGGUUGUAAAGCUCUUUCGCAAGGGAAGAAAACUUAAGCUCUAACAUAGCUUGAGGUUGACGGUACCUUGAUAAGAAGCACCGGCUAACUACGUGCCAGCAGCCGCCGUAA
rnacentral:rRNA from 1 species